CUCGGGUUUCUCACCUAUGAAGGGGAGAUAGCACUUAUCUCAGAGGAAUGUGCAGAGAAUUAGUGAGAUGAAGUACCAAACUCACGGGCGUGUGCCUGGCUAAGGGGACAUGGGUGUUUGCCAGAUGGCCUGCUAAGCCCCAACUUGGAGCAUCUGAAUGGAGAUUCUGGGACAUCUGACCUCUGCAGUGAGAAGAUGCUGUGCCUGAGCCGCUGCCCCACGAGCAUCUGGGUGCCGGGCUGCAUUCACGUAUCGCGGAGCCGUUCCAGCCGACCUGCAGACUUGCAGCCUGAAGCUGAGCCAUGCAGCAGACAUGCAGAGGCCUGAAUGGGAUUUGACUGCUUAUUUUUGUCCGUCACUGUGAUUGGGGGGUUGUUACACAGCAAUGCCUAACAGUUACACGUGUGAAUUUCAUUUAUUAAUAUUUUAGAAAAUGUAUUAAGUUAUUGGAAAUAAAACAUGUGUUUAGGCUGGGUUUUAUUGUUUGGGGUAAAAAACGGUGACUAACAUAAUAAUAUGUAUGUACUUGCUUUAUAUGUAUACUUGACUUUUCAAAAUGAUUAUCUGGAAAAGGACAGCAUGCGUCUGUAUAUGUAUAUCUAGGAAUGUAUGACCAAAGAAGCAGACAAAGUAUACAAAGUCACCGUUAUGCUUUGUUAUAUGUAUUAUCUCCUAAUUAGAUGUCUUGAUUAUGGUUUCUUAGCUUUUGUUGGUUUUGCACCAAUUUUCAAUUUCAUAGCCUCUGCCUGA